rnacentral:rRNA from 1 species
CGUAGGGUGCGAGCGUUGUCCGGAAUUACUGGGCGUAAAGAGCUCGUAGGUGGUUUGUCGCGUUGUUCGUGAAAACUCACAGCUUAACUGUGGGCGUGCGGGCGAUACGGGCAGACUGGAGUACUGCAGGGGAGACUGGAAUUCCUGGUGUAGCGGUGGAAUGCGCAGAUAUCAGGAGGAACACCGGUGGCGAAGGCGGGUCUCUGGGCAGUAACUGACGCUGAGGAGCGAAAGCGUGGGGAGCGAACAGGAUUAGAUACCCUGGUAGUCCACGCCGUAAACGGUGGGUACUAGGUGUGGGUUUCCUUCCUUGGGAUCCGUGCCGUAGCUAACGCAUUAAGUACCCCGCCUGGGGAGUACGGCCGCAAGGCUA